AUGGAGCCAGUCACCCCAAAGUUCAACCCAUGGUCCUCUUGUCCAAUCACCUUCGGUUGUAGGGAUCACCCGACCAGUAUCCGUCAUGGCGGUUCAGGCGGACUGGUCCUUGACCCAAUUAUUGAUGGAUUUCAUCUCACACGAGUCCUCAUGGAUGGUGGCAGCAGCCUGAACCUCCUCUAUCAGGAUAUAGUGCGCAAAAUGGGCAUCGAUCCCUCAAGGAUCAAGCCCACUAAAACCACCUUUAAAGGUGUCAUACCAGGUGUAGAGGCCUGCUGUACGGGCUCAAUCACACUGGAAGUGGUCUUCGGAUCCCCGGAUAAUUUCCGAAGCAAAGAGUUAACCUUCAAUAUCGUCCCUUUUCGCAGUGGUUAUCAUGCACUGCUCGGACGAACCGCAUUCGCUAAACUUAAUGUGGUGUUGCACUAUGCAUACCUCAAGCUCAAGAUGCCCGGACCUCACGGUGUUAUAACAAUCAAUGGAAAUACGGAGCGCUCCCUCCGUACUGAGGAGCACACCGCGGCCCUUCCAGCAGAAGUACAGAGCAUCCUACUUAGUCAGAACCUUAAUUCGGCAGUGAAGCCCCCGAACACCGUCAAGCGAGUCCGAACUACUCUGCAGCAGGACCGUCCAGUUUGUCCAGAGCUCAACUAG
rnacentral:rRNA from 1 species